rnacentral:rRNA from 1 species
ACGAACGCUGGCGGCAGGCCUAACCCAUGCAAGUCGAGCGCGCCCUUCGGGGUGAGCGGCGGACGGGUGAGUAACGCGUGGGAACGUGCCCUUUUCUACGGAAUAGCCUCGGGAAACUGAGAGUAAUACCGUAUACGCCCUUUGGGGGAAAGAUUUAUCGGAAAAGGAUCGGCCCGCGUUGGAUUAGGUAGUUGGUGGGGUAAUGGCCUACCAAGCCGACGAUCCAUAGCUGGUUUGAGAGGAUGAUCAGCCACACUGGGACUGAGACACGGCCCAGACUCCUACGGGAGGCAGCAGUGGGGAAUCUUAGACAAUGGGGGCAACCCUGAUCUAGCCAUGCCGCGUGAGUGAUGAAGGCCUUAGGGUUGUAAAGCUCUUUCAGCUGGGAAGAUAAUGACGGUACCAGCAGAAGAAGCCCCGGCUAACUCCGUG